UGUUGCUGUUGGUAUGGUGGGGGUGGGGCAUGUGGACUAGGGAGGUGGGGUAUGCAGACAGCUAGAGUCAAGGCAGUGCUGGAGUAUGGGGUCUAGUAGCCAUUAGUACACUGCCCUCCAGAAAAGUUGAGAUUAUUCAAAAUGGCCACAGACAUCUGGACAACUCAGUCCUGCCCUGGGCUUUAUUAUUAGUCAAACAGCAUGUAGUUUGUUAGGUAUAUUAUGGUAAAAUUUGUGGUUCAGGUCUUUACCUGUCACUGACUAAUCAAUCAGUCUUCAUCGCCCACCAAAACUUCUGAGAAGAGCCUAUGCAGAAAGAGAGACGCAACUCCUGGAAACUGUCUUCAGACUCUGUAGCAAGUGUGUGCCUGCAUGCAUGCACCCACCACCGCCGCCGCCACCACCACUGCCGCCGCCGCCACCUCCGCCGCUGCCCACCACCACCACCCUGAGAAUCUGAAGAAAUGCCCAGGGGGAAGUAUGUCUCCAGCACAGGAGGGGAAGCAGCCAGUGAGGAAAGAAAGGCAGCUGUUUCUCAGAAGCAGUUGGGAAAAAGCAAGUGCUUUAAGAAGGAAGAAGCUGGCAUCGUGCCUCCUGCUACUGCUGAACACUGAGACAGAGACAACAGAAUGACUGUGAAAUUGAGUUCAGGGAGGUCAAUGGUGUCCUUGGCAAGAGUAAGUUCCGCAGAAAGGAGGACGUGGAAGCCUGAUGGGAGCCAGUGGAAAACGGGACGACGCCGGCAGAGAUGGCGAUGGAGCUCUAGUCUGAAGUUGGAGUAUGUCCACAGGUUUACAUCAUGCCCCUACGGCUCCACACCCUUUCCUUGGAAGCUAAGACGAAAUCCUCAGUGCAUGAGCAGGCCACAUCACCCAGGUGACUUCUAUAUUCGUUCAGCCCAUGACACUUAAUAUUCUCCUGAAGUCAAAAAAAAUGACUAUACAAAAUCGGAAGACUCAUAAUCAGAUCUCCCACAACUUCUAAACACUCUACACAGGGGUUCCCAUCUCCAUUUGACAUAGGAAUUCCUUUUCCUCAACACAUUUCCUCAGCUUUCCAAAGUUCCCAUAAAAGGUCCUACACCAGUCCAUUUUCUGUUACUAAUAACACAAAGCCUUUGAUUGAAUGUGUUUUAUAGAAAAGAGGCUUAUUUGAGAUACUAAAUCUGGUCCAAGGUUGGGGGGGAACCACAUAUGGUGGUGACCUUCUUGCUGGCAGAGUCCCUGUGUGGCACAGGCAUUACAUGACAAGAAGACAAGGGCUGCAUGAGAGUGAGAGACUCUAAUAACAGACCUACUAGCAGCUAACCUACCAUGAACCCAUUCAUCCAUGGCUGUAUUAAUCCAUUCAUGAGGGCAGAGUUCUGAUUGCACCUUUUGGUGAAGCAUUCUUGCACUGUUGCUGAGUUGGGCCUGGAGCUUGUGAACCUUCUGCCUCAGUUUCCAGGGUUCUGGGAUUACCAUGCCCAUCUGCUCCCACUUCUUAAUAUUCAUGAUUUCAUGAUGAAGAUUUAUUUUCCACAUGAGUUUCAAGCUUACAAUAAAGCCCAUUCAUUAUGCCCAUGAGCAAGAUGACCCUCUCAUUGGGACCACUUAGUUCCUGAUCUCCUCUCCUCAAGGACUCUUGUCUGCCUCUAGCUCUACCUCAACCACUUUCAUGAUUAUAACCUAGACCUGGUGUGGUGGUUUGAAUUGGUUUGGCCCCAUAGAUUCAUGUGUUUGAAUGCUUGGCCUUAGGAACUGCCACUCUUAGGAGGUGUUGCCUUAAUAAGUGAGGCUUUGUUGGAGGAAGUGUGUAACUGCGGACAUGGGA